rnacentral:rRNA from 1 species
UACGAAGGGGCUAGGCGUUGCUCGGAAUCACUGGGCGUAAAGCGCACGUAGGCGGAUUGUUAAGUCAGGGGUGAAAUCCUGGAGCUCAACUCCAGAACUGCCUUUGAUACUGGCGAUCUUGAGUCCGGGAGAGGUGAGUGGAACUGCGAGUGUAGAGGUGAAAUUCGUAGAUAUUCGCAAGAACACCGGUGGCGAAGGCGGCUAUCUGGACCGACAUUGACGCUGAGGCGCGAAAGCGUGGGGAGCAAACAGG